UUAAUGAAAUUUAUUACAAUUAUAAAAUAACAGUAUCUGUUCUGCAAUACCUAUUGAAGUAAAUACAAAUAUUUGUGUUAUCUUUACGAGCGCUUCAAAACCAGAAUGAUAAAAACUGUAGAGUUCGAACACUCGGAAGCUCGGGAAAAUCCGGACAGGACAGGGACGAGCGGAUCGGUAAAACCAACGGUUUCGCCCGGUUCCGGCGUUUACGAACGCGUCUGUAGACUCCUCUGCGACGGUCCGGAUUCGCGCACGGGCAUUCCCGCGCUCGGGCGUGACAUUACCGCGCCGACGACAGACCAAUCUCGUACUAAUGUUGUGCAUAAUCGCGUGCACGGUUAUCGGGUAA